AACCUAACGACUCUCGGCAACGGAUAUCUCGGCUCUCGCAUCGAUGAAGAACGUAGCAAAAUGCGAUACUUGGUGUGAAUUGCAGAAUCCCGUGAAUCAUCGAGUCUUUGAACGCAAGUUGCGCCUGAAGCCUUUAGGCCAAGGGCACGUCUGCCUG
rnacentral:rRNA from 1 species